CCGGUCGCCGGGGGGCCGGAGCUCCACCCGACCGUUGGCGGCGGUCGCGAGCAGGAUACCGGCGGCCGGGUUCGCUUCCCGGAGACCGUCC
rnacentral:tRNA from 1 species